rnacentral:tRNA from 4 species
GGGCUACUAGCUCAGUAGGUAGAGCAACGCCCUUUUAAGGCGUGGGUCUCGUGUUCGAAUCACGAGUAGCUCA